UUAAGCGACUAAGCGUACACGGUGGAUGCCCUGGCAGUCAGAGGCGAUGAAGGACGUGCUAAUCUGCGAUAAGCGUCGGUAAGGUGAUAUGAACCGUUAUAACCGGCGAUUUCCGAAUGGGGAAACCCAGUGUGUUUCGACACACUAUCAUUAACUGAAUCCAUAGGUUAAUGAGGCGAACCGGGGGAACUGAAACAUCUAAGUACCCCGAGGAAAAGAAAUCAACCGAGAUUCCCCCAGUAGCGGCGAGCGAACGGGGAGCAGCCCAGAGCCUGAAUCAGUGUGUGUGUUAGUGGAAGCGUCUGGAAAGGCGCGCGAUACAGGGUGACAGCCCCGUACACAAAAAUGCACAUGCUGUGAGCUCGAUGAGUAGGGCGGGACACGUGGUAUCCUGUCUGAAUAUGGGGGACCAUCCUCCAAGGCUAAAUACUCCUGACUGACCGAUAGUGAACCAGUACCGUGAGGGAAAGGCGAAAAGAACCCCGGCGAGGGGAGUGAAAAAGAACCUGAAACCGUGUACGUACAAGCAGUGGGAGCACGCUUAGGCGUGUGACUGCGUACCUUUUGUAUAAUGGGUCAGCGACUUAUAUUCUGUAGCAAGGUUAACCGAAUAGGGGAGCCGAAGGGAAACCGAGUCUUAACUGGGCGUUAAGUUGCAGGGUAUAGACCGAAACCCGGUGAUCUAGCCAUGGGCAGGUUGAAGGUUGGGUAACACUAACUGGAGGACCGAACCGACUAAUGUUGAAAAAUUAGCGGAUGACUUGUGGCUGGGGGUGAAAGGCCAAUCAAACCGGGAGAUAGCUGGUUCUCCCCGAAAGCUAUUUAGGUAGCGCCUCGUGAAUUCAUCUCCGGGGGUAGAGCACUGUUUCGGCAAGGGGGUCAUCCCGACUUACCAACCCGAUGCAAACUGCGAAUACCGGAGAAUGUUAUCACGGGAGACACACGGCGGGUGCUAACGUCCGUCGUGAAGAGGGAAACAACCCAGACCGCCAGCUAAGGUCCCAAAGUCAUGGUUAAGUGGGAAACGAUGUGGGAAGGCCCAGACAGCCAGGAUGUUGGCUUAGAAGCAGCCAUCAUUUAAAGAAAGCGUAAUAGCUCACUGGUCGAGUCGGCCUGCGCGGAAGAUGUAACGGGGCUAAACCAUGCACCGAAGCUGCGGCAGCGACGCUUAUGCGUUGUUGGGUAGGGGAGCGUUCUGUAAGCCUGUGAAGGUGUGCUGUGAGGCAUGCUGGAGGUAUCAGAAGUGCGAAUGCUGACAUAAGUAACGAUAAAGCGGGUGAAAAGCCCGCUCGCCGGAAGACCAAGGGUUCCUGUCCAACGUUAAUCGGGGCAGGGUGAGUCGACCCCUAAGGCGAGGCCGAAAGGCGUAGUCGAUGGGAAACAGGUUAAUAUUCCUGUACUUGGUGUUACUGCGAAGGGGGGACGGAGAAGGCUAUGUUGGCCGGGCGACGGUUGUCCCGGUUUAAGCGUGUAGGCUGGUUUUCCAGGCAAAUCCGGAAAAUCAAGGCUGAGGCGUGAUGACGAGGCACUACGGUGCUGAAGCAACAAAUGCCCUGCUUCCAGGAAAAGCCUCUAAGCAUCAGGUAACAUCAAAUCGUACCCCAAACCGACACAGGUGGUCAGGUAGAGAAUACCAAGGCGCUUGAGAGAACUCGGGUGAAGGAACUAGGCAAAAUGGUGCCGUAACUUCGGGAGAAGGCACGCUGAUAUGUAGGUGAAGUCCCUCGCGGAUGGAGCUGAAAUCAGUCGAAGAUACCAGCUGGCUGCAACUGUUUAUUAAAAACACAGCACUGUGCAAACACGAAAGUGGACGUAUACGGUGUGACGCCUGCCCGGUGCCGGAAGGUUAAUUGAUGGGGUCAGCGCAAGCGAAGCUCUUGAUCGAAGCCCCGGUAAACGGCGGCCGUAACUAUAACGGUCCUAAGGUAGCGAAAUUCCUUGUCGGGUAAGUUCCGACCUGCACGAAUGGCGUAAUGAUGGCCAGGCUGUCUCCACCCGAGACUCAGUGAAAUUGAACUCGCUGUGAAGAUGCAGUGUACCCGCGGCAAGACGGAAAGACCCCGUGAACCUUUACUAUAGCUUGACACUGAACAUUGAGCCUUGAUGUGUAGGAUAGGUGGGAGGCUUGAAGUGUGGACGCCAGUCUGCAUGGAGCCGACCUUGAAAUACCACCCUUUAAUGUUUGAUGUUCUAACGUUGACCCGUAAUCCGGGUUGCGGACAGUGUCUGGUGGGUAGUUUGACUGGGGCGGUCUCCUCCUAAAGAGUAACGGAGGAGCACGAAGGUUGGCUAAUCCUGGUCGGACAUCAGGAGGUUAGUGCAAUGGCAUAAGCCAGCUUGACUGCGAGCGUGACGGCGCGAGCAGGUGCGAAAGCAGGUCAUAGUGAUCCGGUGGUUCUGAAUGGAAGGGCCAUCGCUCAACGGAUAAAAGGUACUCCGGGGAUAACAGGCUGAUACCGCCCAAGAGUUCAUAUCGACGGCGGUGUUUGGCACCUCGAUGUCGGCUCAUCACAUCCUGGGGCUGAAGUAGGUCCCAAGGGUAUGGCUGUUCGCCAUUUAAAGUGGUACGCGAGCUGGGUUUAGAACGUCGUGAGACAGUUCGGUCCCUAUCUGCCGUGGGCGCUGGAGAACUGAGGGGGGCUGCUCCUAGUACGAGAGGACCGGAGUGGACGCAUCACUGGUGUUCGGGUUGUCAUGCCAAUGGCAUUGCCCGGUAGCUAAAUGCGGAAGAGAUAAGUGCUGAAAGCAUCUAAGCACGAAACUUGCCCCGAGAUGAGUUCUCCCUGACCCUUUAAGGGUCCUGAAGGAACGUUGAAGACGACGACGUUGAUAGGCCGGGUGUGUAAGCGCAGCGAUGCGUUGAGCUAACCGGUACUAAUGAACCGUGAGGCUUAACCUU
rnacentral:rRNA from 1 species